AUAAAGCCAGGGGUUGAGUUAAAGUCCAUUGCUUAAGGUAUCAUUUUACGCUAAGGUUUAUUGCCUUAAGUUACGAGUUGAUCAAUGUGAUUAUUAUUCGAAGUUGAGAUGGUUUGAAACAGCCAAGUACAAGAUCGUGCCUACGAGAUUACUAAGUUAUUUCGUUGAAAGUAAAUCAUGCAAGGAAAGUUAAAGGUAAACAAAGGGGUUACAAGAAGAAAUGCGAAAGUAACUUCAUUGAGCAAAGUAUCAGUUCAAGAGAAUACACGCCAACUUGGUAAAUACAUGUCCAAGAAAAUGUGAGUUUAUUACAAAAGUAUAUGCAAGGAAAAGGCACGAAAGUAGCAGAUGGAGAGAAUCGUUUAAUCUUCAGCAGGAACC
rnacentral:lncRNA from 1 species